AAAGGAAUAGACGGGGGCCCGCACAAGCGGAGGAACAUGUGGUUUAAUUCGAUGAUACGCGAGGAACCUUACCCGGGUUUGAACGGUCGCUGCGUAUGGGUGAAAGCUCAUAGUCCGCGAGGACAGCGGUCGAGGUGCUGCAUGGUUGUCGUCAGCUCGUGCCGUGAGGUGUCGGGUUAAGUCCCAUAACGAGCGCAACCCCUACCGACAGUUGCCAUCAGGUGAUGCUGGGGACUCUGUCGGGACUGCCGGUGUAAACCGCGAGGAAGGCGGGGAUGACGUCAAAUCAGCACGGCCCUUACAUCCGGGGCUACACACGUGUUACAAUGGACGGUACAGAGGGCAGCAAGCGGGUGACCGCAAGCGAAUCCUCAAAGCCGUUCUUAGUUCGGAUCGGAGUCUGCAACUCGACUCCGUGAAGCCGGAUUCGCUAGUAAUCGCGCAUCAGCCACGGCGCGGUGAAUACGUUCCCGGGCCUUGUACACACCGCCCGU
rnacentral:rRNA from 1 species